rnacentral:rRNA from 1 species
GACGAACGCUGGCGGCGUGCUUAACACAUGCAAGUCGAGCGGCGCGGCGAACGGGUGAGGAACGCGUGAGUAACUGCCCCCUUCUCUGGGAUAACAGUUGGAAACGGCUGCUAAUACCGGCUAGUGGGGGAUGACUCGCGUCCUAUCAGCUUGUGGGUGGGGUAGUGGCCUACCAAGGCGACGACGGGUAGCCGGCCUGGGAGGGCGACCGGCACAAUGGGCUGAGAUACGACCCAGACGGCUACGGUAGGCAGCAGGGGUAAAUAUUGAACAGUGGGGGAAACCGUGUGGAAGAAACGCCGGGUGCGGGAUGACGGCCCUCGGGGUGGAAACCGCUUUCAGCCAAGACGCGGUAGUCGCAGAAGAAGCACCGGCUAACUACGUGCCAGCCGCCGCGGUAAUUC